UCGCCUGUUUAUCAAAAACAUAGUUUAGUGAUGAAAAAUACUAAAUGAAUUCUGCCCAGUGUAUUUGAAAAUAAAUGGCCGCAGUACCCUGACUGUGCUAAGGUAGCAUAAUCAAUUGGCUUUUAAUUGAAGUCUGGAAUGAAAGAAAUAAUGAAGAAAUGCUGUCUUAAAGAUAUUGAUUUUAAUUUAUUAAAAAGGUGAAAAUACCUUUUUUAAAAAAAAAGACGAGAAGACCCUAAGAAUUUUUAAUUAAUUUUUUAAUGAUUAAUUUUUUGUUGGGGCGACAAAUUAGAAUUUUAAACCUAAUUUUUUUAAACAGGCGAAUUUUUUAAGGAAUAAAAAAUUACCUUAGGGAUAACAGCAUAAUAUUGUUAAAAUGUUUGUGACCUCGAUGUUGGACUAGGAACUUUAUGGCUAGCAGUCAGAAGAGAUUUAUUCUGUUCGAAUAAUUUUAUCCU
rnacentral:rRNA from 1 species